CCUACGGGAGGCAGCAGUGAGGAAUAUUGGUCAAUGAACGAGAGUCUGAACCAGCCAAGUAGCGUGAAGGAUGACUGCCCUAUGGGUUGUAAACUUCUUUUAUAUGGGAAUAAAAUGUUCCACGUGUGGGAUUUUGUAUGUACCAUAUGAAUAAGGAUCGGCUAACUCCGUGCCAGCAGCCGCGGUAAUACGGAGGAUCCGAGCGUUAUCCGGAUUUAUUGGGUUUAAAGGGAGCGUAGGUGGAUUGUUAAGUCGGUUGUGAAAGUUUGCGGCUCAACCGUAAAAUUGCAGUUGAAACUGGCAGUCUUGAGUACAGUAGAGGUGGGCGGAAUUCGUGGUGUAGCGGUGAAAUGCUUAGAUAUCACGAAGAACUCCGAUUGCGAAGGCAGUUCACUGGACUGCAACUGACACUGAGGCUCGAAAGUGUGGGUAUCAAACAGGAUUAGAUACCCGGGUAGUC
rnacentral:rRNA from 1 species